rnacentral:rRNA from 1 species
CUACGGAGGGUGCAAGCGUUACUCGGAAUCACUGGGCGUAAAGGACGCGUAGGCGGGUUGUCAAGUCAGAUGUGAAAUCCUACAGCUCAACUGUAGAACUGCAUUUGAAACUGGCAACCUAGAGUAUGGGAGGGGGAGAUGGAAUUAGUGGUGUAGGGGUAAAAUCCGUAGAUAUCACUAGGAAUACCGAAAGCGAAGGCGAUCUCCUGGAACAUUACUGACGCUGAGGCGUGAAAGCGUGGGGAGCAAACGGGAUUAGAAACCCUAGUAGUCC